rnacentral:lncRNA from 1 species
CACAUCCUACUGCUGUACUCUGGUCAGUACAAGCUUAAAGAAUGCAGAGGGAAAGAAAACAGAAGUAUUUUCUCCUAUUUGAUACCUUAAUCUCUAUGCAGAGAAUUGGCCGAGGUUCCACAAAGCGAUAGGUCUGCAGCCUGGUAAGAUUAGGAAGGCACAUUGCAUAACCACUAAGUGUGUCCAUAUCUUUAUCACAGCGAGACUCUGCAGAGAGGGGAAGAAAGAAGAAAAACACGAGAAAAUUAAACGUGUAGAUGUUUAGUUUACUCCACAGUUGUGUUGUUCUCCAGCUGGGGGAAGAAAGGGGAAAAAAAAAGCAAAAACUUAGAAAGGCAGGACACAGUUUAGCAGGAUUUAGUUAAUUAUGAGCUUGCUUAAAUUUGCCCUUCCCACUAGCAGCACAUUUUCUGUUUCCUCAAAACUUCGUAGGCAUAAAGAGUACUUCAAGAGCUGCUUUGGAUGGCCAGUUUCCACCUCACCCUAAAAACUGGCCAGAGGCCUGAAACAGCAAAGGAGUGUAUUCAACUGGCUGAGAACGGGUAAAUAUUUAUAACUGCAUUCAAAGAUAUGACACGUUUUCCUGCUAAAAUUGCACGCAGUAAGAUAAUCUUAAUUCAUCACUGUUUUAAUACUGAAGGAAGUUUCCUUGUAUUCUAAGGUACAAUACUUUUUUAAACUUCCUAGUAAGGCACGAUGUGUCAUAGCUUGAAAAGCCCCCUUUUCAAUGCUGUCAUCAGCACUUACCUGGCCUCUCUGGCUGAAUCUUUAAACAGAGCUGUCUUACGAAGUCUAAAGGCAGUUGAACAAUUUCCCCAUGAUGAACGUAAUUCUCCCCAAAGAACUGCUUCAUAACGUGUUUUCCAAAGUCUACAAUGUUUUGCAGAUGGUGUAGUAUUUCCUCUGGAGUCUUGUUCUGGUUGGGGGGGAACUUCAGAAACCGCAGCACCACACAGCGCUGGCAGUGGGAGACGACGAGGCUCUGGUUGCCUUCCCCGUGGUACUUCCAUUCGUUCUCGUCCAUCUUCUCCACUUCCAUGCCCGGCCCGGGCCCCCGCCGCGCCCCGCGGGGACGGUGCCUGCCGCCGGCCCGCCGCGCUCACGCCGCCACCAUCGCGGCCCCGCGCCGCCGCUCCGCCCCAGGAAGUCCCGCCCUCCGACAGGGGCCGGGCCCGGGCCGAGCCCGCCGCGCUCGCGCCGCUCGCCGCCAUCUUUGUGCCGGGCAGCGCCCCCCGUCGCCAUCUUUGAGCGGGGCGCUCCCGGCGGCCUUCUAUUCAUCGGACAGGAGGAAAGAAGUGUGAAUUCCUGAGCCCUUUGGCAAACACGACGUCAGAAGAACGUUUGAAGUAUGCUCGUCGCCUCCUGGGUUUAACCAACAUUGCGCGGCAACAAAUGGACAUAGGAAGCAAAAAGCCACCACACAGUGUUAUUUCAACUCAUCAAUAAGCGGUGCGGAGAGAUGUCACUGUGUACCAAACAUCAGUGGGAGCGUCAUACCACAGUGAGCUGCUUCAGAGACACCGGGUGUGAAUGCUUGUCCGACUGACCCCAGUAAAGGCGCCCGGCCUGGGAAGGAGGCGCAGCGGCAGUGCGGCCGUGUGGCGGUGCUGGGAGCAGAGGUGAAGGCCUCAGGUGCAGCAGGGGAUGUUCCAGGUGGGUGCUGGGAGAAAUGUCUCCCAGAGAGCGCUCGGGCACUGGCACAGCUGCCCGGAGAGCUGCGGGAGUCAGCGUCCAUGGAGGUGUGCCAGAAGCGUGGGGAUGUGGCACUGAGGGACGCGGGCAGUGGGCAGCUGGGGGGGUGGACGGUGGCACUUGGUGAUCUUAGAGGUCUUUGCCAACCAGAGAGAUUCUGUCAUUCUAUAAUAUUCUCAAUAUAUUGACUUAUAUAGCAGUAUUUUGUCCUCAUUUUAAAGAAAUGCGACCGUUAUAAAUUGAUCCCUUUUCUAUUUUCAUGCCUCCAAAAAGUGUACUUCAAUGCCACGCAAGGGUAAAAAGAUAACAGUGAAAAAGCCAGCGCAGCCGAGUUCUGGCACAGUCAGUGCCCAUCAGGGCCCUCCUGAUCCCGAGUGCAGAAUUACUGCUUUGCUGCACUGUAGGGCCGUUCUGAAAAUGCACCGAUCAAACUCUGAAAUAGGAGAGACAACGAUAUAUUAUUUCUCUCUAUGUUAUCAUUUUUUAAGUGUUACUUACUUUAGAUAUGAUCUACAACGUGCUCAAACCGAAAUAUCUUAAGCAUCUGUGCUGUUAAUGACAUGAAAGCAUUGCAUAACUGGAAGGUGCCUGGCAUGGCUAUGUCUGGGGGUAUAAGUGCAGUGUGUGCAGGCACACCUGGGUUUGCUGUAACGCAAUACCUGCAUGCUGCCAGCACACAGCUCUCAGCUUCCAAACUCGUCUGCGGAUCUCAGUGGAUAAUAAUCAGUUCUGUGGUACUUCAGUAUGCAAAUAGCUACUUUAGAACCACCUCAGGAAUGCACAGGGUAAUCACAGCUCCAGCCCCACGCUCCCACUUGAUCCCUGCGCCAUUUUCUUUUGGGUGCAGUCUGAAGGCCACAGGAGAGCGGCACGGGUCUAAGAUGCAUCUCCAUUUGUCUGGGCCCUUGAACUGCACCAGGUGGUUAUGUAGAGCUCUGUGUCACAAAUCCUGUUUUGGGGACCCAGCGCCGUUGGGGAUAAAAAACAAAAGUGGGCAAACACCACCACAUGUAUCCACAGCCUUUAAAUCAGUGCUACGCUGCACUUCACUGUGCUGAUAGCCUCAGUGCAAGAUAAAGUGCCUCAUAAAAGGCACUUUACUACAAGAUAAACAGAUCAUGUGACUUUCCUAUAAGCUAAUAGAACACUGCCAUGAAAUGCUAGUCAAACAGAUGUGCAAGUGGCAGAAAAUAGCCUUCCUACCUUUUUACAUGAAGGCAAACGGUACAGCAGCUAAUAUAAAAUUUCUUCCCAGCCUGUCACCCAUCACCUCAUGCCAAUAAUGGUAUUUUUUUGUUUCUUUAAAUUUGCUUGCAACUGUGGCACUGACCACUGACUUUACAUCUUCAGUUUAUUCAUCCAUACCCUCCCGGGUCACCCCCCAGCACACAGAGCACUCUCAGCCAAAAGCCACCAGGGCAGGGCUUCCCCCACAGCUCUCAGCUCAGGAGUGCUGCAGAACUAUCAACACCAGACUCUCACAUAUGCGCUCUUACAGCUUGUGCAUCUACCAAAGAAUGAGAACAGAAUGGGGGCGAAAAACGGGACUUGUUUACUCAGAGGCAAAUACACACACACAAAACAGGCAAGUGUUAUGUGUUAAUAUUCUGGUGGCUAAGAAAAGUUCAUUAUGUGCGGGUCUGAGCUAAAAACAGCAUUACCUGAGGAUAAAAUCAGCUUGUCUUGUAAGAUAGUAAGAAGGAUUUUUGCAAUAACAGUUACAUCUUAGCUUUCCAGGUCACUAAAAUGAAAGGCUUCAGUAAAGAAGGGUUUUGUUAUUUAUGAAAAAGAAUAAACAAGACACAGAAGAUCUUUUCCUGGCCCUAGAAGUGUCUGCCUGGAGAAAUCAUGUUUAAAAAUCAAAAAGUCCAGACAGUGAGGCCAAGAAUAUUGAAUGGACGUGAUAACACCAAAAUACAGCUGUGAUACAAUAACAGUAAUUCUUUUUUUUUUUUUUUUAAUCUAAUGCACCGUUCUUAGUUUCCAAAAGAUGUGAUUGUGUUCAGUUAAGAUUACCCAAUAGUUCUAUGCUACUCUCGAGCCAUCAGAAAUGGAGUAUACUUAUGUAACUCACACCUCAUCAUGAUUUUAAAGCUUUGCCAUUUCUCUGUUAUCAGGAUUACAGUGCUGCACAAUCUCCACGCCUUGUUUUUUUCCUCAAAUCCACUGUUUAUCUAUGUAAUUUCAUGCAUAUAGCAGGGAUGCAGGGAACCUCAUGCUUCAGUGAUCAUUUCACCAUCUCUCAAGCUGAAUGGCACUGGAAAAACACAAUGCAAUAUGACUGUAAUAUAUUGUUUGAUAGCUUGCUUAGAAAGUGUACAUGGUACUUCAAACCACAAUAAAAUAUUUUAGUAGCUAAGUCAGUGGCAAUAAGACAGUAGAAAGAAAAAGGUUGCUUAAGGUGAAUGAAGGUAAAGCAGCAUACUUGUUAACCAGAAGAGCUCACGCAAUCACACCCAGCCAUCAGGAACAGCAGGCACAAAUGAACAGACAUUAUAGCUGUUAGGAGGCUUAAUUGCUAGUUGGGCUGACGAGGGAGGAAGUGAAGACUCAGAGCAUAAAUAACUUCCCAGUAUAAUAGAUAAAACACCAAUAAAUUGUCGAGACGGAGUAUUUUUAUACAUAAGUGAGAUCAUUAAAUACCAUGGAGUCCACGGAUAGGAAUCCUGAAUGCUCACUGAGCGGGUGGGGGGACAAAUUAGCUGGGGGCACAUCGUGCUGAAUUCUUGGGAUAGAAAAAGAGAUCUACUCAGGAACUGCAGGAGGUCCUUAAAGCAGAGCACUGAGGUGAAUCCCUUUGGUACGGUAUUAAAUCGGAACGGAACAGGACCGAUCCCGGCUAAGCACCUCCCUAAAGUCUGUUCUUAUAGCAUUUAAUCCUGCAGGCGAGGAAGGAGAGAUGAAGGGAUUAGGAGCUUUUAGUCUUGCCUUGUAUUAAGUGACACACCAGCAGCUGGGAAACAAAUGCUCUUUAUAGGCAGAGGGGAAAGCCAACCACCCGAGCGGAGUUUGCAGCCUGAAGUCACAUCAGUAAUAGUUUUGCUGCUUUUGCAAUAGAGCACCACUUCUCACAGCAGCUACUUUAUGUUCCUGUUAUACUGUCAGCUGUGACCGAACACUCUUGCAACACAUGUGCCCUUGGGUUGUUCAUACCACAUGCACAGCCUCAUCUAUGUGCAGAGCCCUCAUCUAUGGCCCUCGGACCUGUUAAUGGUUAAAGGAGGGGACAGCUUCUGGCACGAGCCUUGUACAAGCAUCUUUAAACAAGACAGGGAGUGCUCCCGUUUACCUGUUUGUUAGCCAGACUGCUAUUGCUCAGCAAUGCCACACUGCAGUAGUCCUUGAGACCUUCUCAGUUAAGAUGUGGAGCUCACUGAGCACAAGGUCUCUGGAACAUCAGUGACAAAUUGACGUAAGCCUGUCACACAUCAUGUUUCAGCUCGUACCCCGGCACAGCAAACUGUGGAGCAAUAUCAGGAGAUGGCACAGCAGGACUGCAGAGCAGUUACAUUUGUGUGCUUACUGAUAAACCUGAUGAUCCCCAACACAGUUGUGAAAUAUCUGAAUAGAUAAAAUGCCUCAAGUUCACAGAUAUCACAUUUUUAUUGGCUGUGGUGGAGUAACUGCUGUAUUCAAACAGUGCCAUGUAAGAUGAGAGCUGUUUUUCAUCCUUCCCAAACCAACUCCCUUUAAGAGCACAGUUACUGGACCUGCUAUGAUUGAAAUCAAUAACUAGAAGCUGUAAUUUCAAGAGACAUUUUCUCCGCACUUUAUACCUUGGUUUCUGUUAUCUCUGAUAUGUAAGCAGAAACACAAUGCGGUUUCAGCACAGCAGCUAAUAAACACUAUGCUAUCUCAGAAGGUUCUCCUUUCCAAACCUCCCUGCACUCCUGCCCCCUCUUUGCAUUGCUCUUAGCCCACGUGGCAAGCUGCAGCAACUUACCAAUUAAUGGUCAGGUUUUCUUGGAGUUUUCUUUCAUUUUGAUUUUAAUAAUUACUCAUUAGAUAGCUCAGCAAAGCAGCCCGGCAUUGCGCAGCCACGUAAGCCCUCCAGCUGUUGGUACACCAAAAGCAGCGGGGAGUGCAGCAUUAGGCACUUUGCUGCAGCUCAGCUGCAGAGCAGGGGGAGCUGGAUGGGAAAUGGGACUUCUAGCAGCACUGCACAAACAGCGAGGUGAAGGUGGGGGGCCCUCCCAAGGAAGAGCUAAAAGAAGGAACAGAUGUUUCUGGGUGUGCUCUGAAAACCAGCAGAGAACACAUGAACAAAAGAAAUGUCUCAGGAGAACAAAUCGUACCCUUCGUCGAGCAGACCAUGGUUUCUCUUUUCCCUUGAAGGAAAAACAUAUUAGCUUUCUGCCAUCACUGCGGUGCCAGGUCUGUCUGAGUUCAUGAUCUGCACUAUCAGAAUGUCAGCAAUAACACAAACUACUGAAUUGCUUUACUGAUUUAGAACAGCUAUUUCAAAGGUAACAAUCCACAGUUCUUUUAAAGUGUAACGAGGUGGGUAUUUAUUGAGUGAUUGUGAGAUGCUUCUGAUGGAAAGCUUGGCAAAGGCAAGUGUAAAGCAAUAUCCACUGCUUUCUUUAUUUUUUUGGCAAUGAAAGUAUUUCAUUUGGAAGAAAGAAUUUACGUGAAUAGUGAGUGUACACCUCACAGCUUCCAUUUCUACAAAAAGAAACCCAAAUUGCUCAGAGGAGAACUAUUCCUAACAGCAACAGGAAAACAAGUACACCAAAAUAUUAAAAGAUGUUCCAGAUCUCUCCAGUGAAGACCUUUGAGGAAUGAAAUUUCAAAUGCCAGAGCAAGCAUGAUUCUUGAGCAAGUCCUACUCUUGUUAAACAGAAGUGGGCCCAAGAGUGGUGACUCCCCUCCUCAUGCAAGGCUUGCCAUCUGGGGAGGUACACAGCAAUGCGGAAUGGAUGUACAAAUCCCAGAAAUAUAUCUUGACACCCUAAUUCCUGGUUGUGCUUGAACCUGCUUAAUUAUGAGUGAGCCACUAAGAGUGCAGAGAAGGCAUUUACAAAAUUGUGUUUGGAGAUGGACUUACAAUGAAAGUAGGAAGAACAGUGAUAAGGACACACUGACAGUUACUGGAAAGUAAGUUGUGAAAGCCUCAAAAAAAAACAACAACAACAAAAAAAAAAAAAAAAAAAACCCCAAAAACAGUAAAGAGACCAAAAUAGCUCAAAUAAGAAUUGCUCCUCAGCUAGAAAUGAUCAUCUGGAAAGAAGAGUACAUUUUACAAAGUAAAUCCAUCAGUGCCAGAGUAAUAGAAACUGACAGAUCUCAAGGCUACUGAUUGCAAGGUGGCUGUCUGAGAAACAAAGCAAACUCCUGUAUCUACUAUAUUUCCAUUUUCUACCUCUGCAGAAAGGAAGUGAAAGCCAUUCACGUAUCUGCUUUACCUACAUUACUUCUUGGGUGAAUGAAAGGCAAAGCAGCACUGACAAAAAUAGCAAUAUUAAAAUGCUCUUCUUUAACAACCCCUGCAUUAACACUGAUAUUUUGUCCAGCAGCUUUCCCAGGGUUGUACAGAGUAUCAAAGUAGAUAUGAUGGGAAACAGCCUCACCUGCUGGUUUGAGGAGACACAGCCAGGUGCCCACACAGCUCAAUACUCCUCCCCUCACAUCUCCAGCACCCCAAAGGAAAAUCACCUUUCUUUUUUGCUGCUGCUCUGUAUAAUAUAUCAGCAGCAAAAGUGUUUGAUAGAGAUCUUUGCUGCUGUUUUGUUAAAUUCAUUUUCAAAAACAGAAAGAAGAAACAAGAACAGAAGACUAUGCUGUCUUAUCUCAUUAAAGGUAGGACUUUUUAUUAAGAAGUGCUAUUUUAUCUGUGUGUUGAAACAAUCACAGAAGAGUGGGAAACAGAACGUGACAUCAGGUCACCACGAAGCUACGCACGGAUCUUUUGCUGCUUUUUCUGUCUCAAUUUCAUCAAGUUCUAAACUCCUGCUGGAGCAUGUACAUAAGUCCACUGCAUUUCCCCUCUUGCAGACUGUCCUCUGCCUUUGCAAGCAGCUGCUGCCCACCCUUAUCGCCAGUACGUGCCCAUGCACAGGUGUGCUCACUUCCCAGGGCUGCAGGAUGCUGUGCAGGAGCACAUUCCUUCAGCAUGCUGGUCCAAAGUUAAUAGAAUUUCCAAAUGAAUCAUUUCAUUUUGCCAGUUAAGGCUUUAAUGACCAUCAUUAGUUCAUUAUCUUGAUUGCAGAAAACAUUUUACAGAACAGGAGUCACAGAAUGUUAUUUACAUCCCCCCUCGACUUCAUAACUGCACACUUCCUUUAAAUAGGACUGAUCUGACUUUCAGAGGACUGAUGGCUUCCAGUUCCCGUGAGAAACAGAAGGCUCUGCACUCACUCUGUGCUUCCAAACGUCAGGGCGUGCUAUUUCAAUGGCUGUGCUCAGAUGGGAGAGCUCAGAUUUAGAGAUGCGCAGGAAGAGGCUGAAAGUAGAUGGAAACAAACUAAAAACUUCAAUAGAAAUGAGCAAGCAGAUGGCAGUUAUAAAGAUGCACAUAAAGCACAAGAAAGGGAAACAGAAGCAAAUAAAAGAGAACAUGGAAUGUGCAGAACAUCAAACGCUGCAACCCUGAGCUCUUAUUUUCACACGCAAGUUGCACUUGGGAGGUUAGUCCUAGAAUACCAUUUAUAAUGGUGUGAAAAUCAUGCUAUGGCUACUUCUUCAUCAAGGGCACCGCACUGUUGAACACAGUGGUGCAAAGAGGCUUUACAGGAGAAUUUCUAGGACACGAGGUCCGUUCUGAUCUGGUGGGAGAAGUGCACUUUCAGGAAGUACAUCCGUUGUACUCCUUCCAGUUCCUGACCACUUCCCAGGGGCUCUGCUGAGCUUUGAGAAGUCUGAAUGUCCCGGUUGAUUUCAUCCCCCCCUCCCCCAAUUUUUCCCACUUAGCUCUUCCUGUGGGGCAUCUUUUGCCAGCUUGACACCAUCAGUCUGCAGGCCGAGUCAUUCUGCUUAUCCAUUAUUAUUUCUAGAAACAAGGGACCAUUGAGCACAGUGACAAAGAGCUAUUAGAAAGGAAGAAAAAAAAGAAAAAAAAAAGAAAAACAAACCGACAAACAAACCAAUAUCCAUAUGGGCUUAUCAGGAAUUGUAUCAACCUAACAAUGGAUUUUAGAUAUGAGUCUUUGGUUUAUAAUCAAAGAUGCCUUAUCUGACACCCAGUGAGGUGUAACAAUUUUCCUUUCUGCUUGAGUACUCCACUUGCUAUAUUGGUUUGGACAAGGACAGUGCAGUGUGGAUUUUUGGUAUCUUUCCUGUAUGUAUAUAUAUGAAUCUGCAUACAUUUUAUAAAUAACAAUGCAAAUGAGUUAUAGUAAACUAUGUGCAUGGCAAAGUGAUCGUUUGCUUACUCUUUGAGUAAGAAUGAAGAGUUCUGUGACAGCUUCCAGCCUUCCCUCGGUCACUGCUGCCCUGUGUUAUUCCACUGAGCAUUUUUUUCACAAUUCAGUAUGGAACAGUCUAAUAAAAUGCAGAAAUCAAAAUCAGAGAUGAAACUGAUGGGAAAAAAAAGGGUUGGUCAACGGCCAUUCCUACAGACAGACCCACAUCUGUUAGCUGAUUCACGUCUGAGGUAUUCACAGCGCUUCCCAAAGACGAGCACAUCCACAGGUGUGUCAGCAGUGAGCUGAGUGCAAGCAAGCAUCACAAGCUCCCUUCUUCUCUUUCAGAUCUCAGUGCAUGCUAGAAUGGGAAUCGCCCUUUCUUGCUAUCAGCCUCUCAGGCACACUCCUGUGUUACUGGCAGCAUACAACACCUGUUUGAUUUCACAGGCAUUUCAGCACCAGUGCAGGUGCGGAAGGAGAAUCUUUGCUCCUAACAAAUAUUUACUUUGGUAACAGCACCCUGUCUGCUGUUUUCCCAAAGCAAUCAUUUCUGGCACAGCGCCUACCAUAGCAGCAUUACUGAUAGAUCCUUCAGUAAAAACAAAUACCCUUUUACCUGAAGGGGUAUACAGUGUAAUUAUGUGAGGGGAAGAACGCUCACAUACUGCUUUAUUCUGCUAUAUGGAGGUGUCCACAAAUGCACCGCUUGGAUUACAUACAAAUAUCACAGAAUUACCCUUUUGGACCCUCUUCCAAAAAGUAUACACAGACAACAGCAAUGCAGCGAGGUCGAACGGAGCAUUUUUCCAACAGUUAAUAAAGUGUUUGUCAGAACAAAUGACUGCAGCCUGCAAAUGGGAACUGCCACGUUCUGGGUAACAGGUAACCUCUCCAAAUGACAGACCACAGGGAAACAGCAGUCACUGAAAAUUGUCGGUGGGACAAGGCAAAAGCCAUCACUGAUGUGACACAGACAGAAAGGAAAUACCAUGAAACCCCAUUCUGCUUACGGCCAGGUGAAUUCCAGCAUGAAAACAGCACCUGGAUGCGGGUGGGGGGAAAUACAAGCAAGUCUGUCACGUUAAAGGCUGUUAGCAACUUAAGCACAUAGUUCUGGCAAAGAGUCAAACAAUGGGAAAUUAAGCACAAAGCUCAACACAAGAGUCAAUUACAUUACAAACAUUUUUCAGACAGAGAAAAAGAUCAGCGGAUGUAUUCUGAGGCCCUUCGUUCACUGGAGGCUGCAGGGAAGUAUCACUGCAGAUGUAGGCAUGAUGCUUAGGUGCUGUUGCUGGGAAGGGAAUCCCACCUUUAAUUUGUUUGGGUGUGAAGCAGUGCGAAUAACACGUGGCAUCUGGGAGCUUCCUUCAAAUCCAUGACCAUUUCUCCCCACUAAUUUGACAAAGCUGAUGCAGAUCUCAGUGUUCUCAGGCAGGGAUCCGUAUGAAAGGACAACGGAACAGAUGGAACAGAUCGCUCUGCUUCUAAGUGCAACUUCCAAGUCAUUUAACAAUGUGACUGCAAUUAAGAAGAAAACACAAAAGCAACAUGGAGGUAUGGUGCCACGCUCCCCAACCCAGCUGGAAAAUAAAAGGCCAGAAAAAUAUCUUCAAAGCUCGGGGUUAAUCUCCCCUGGUCAGUCCAGUGCUGGUUACUAUGUCCGCUCUGAUGUUCCUUGUCAAGGCAUGGUGGCUGCCGACAAACUGGCAUUAAUCUCUUCUGAUUGCAUGCUGAUGUGGAAGGUUAGAAAAUUUCAUGAAGGGAAAAAAAAAAACCAACAAAAGGUUAUUUGACAUAAAGGAGAAAAACACAGAAAGGUAAAAAAGAAGAGAAAAAUAAGAAGUCUUGUAAGGAAGUAAACUGAAUUAGAUAUACAGCCUGCUCUGGAUCACAAGGCAAAAGAGGACCUCUAACUUCAGCUAACAUUGGUUUCCAGACUUGUUUCAGUUUUCAAGCCAUGAAGUGUCUUCUGACUUCUUAUGGAAGCAACAGCCUUCCCUUUACUAGUAGCAAGGAGCCAUGGCUGUCAGAGAUUGCAGCCAAAAUGCUAGCAACAAAAAUCACGUGUCACAUUAAUGCUGUGGCUCUCAAUUCUCAACCAAUUUUGUUUAGCAAAACCUCCAUCCAUCAAAAUACUUAAUUCCCCAUCAAAUGUUCAGCACUACUACUAAGUUCAAGUGUGUAUUUAAUUACCAUCAAACAUGUUUAAUUACUAUUGACCGAGGUUUCUCCGUGUAUGCUUCAACCUCUUGAAAAAAUAGCUCACAACCCACAUGGCAGCAUUCAAUGCUUCCUGUUCCAGUAUCAGCCCAUCCUGUUCUGGAGCAAAAAGGACAAGAUGAUGCUCUCCCAGUCCAUUUUUACCUGCGCCCCCCAUGCACCGAAUAUUAGGUAUGCACAGUAACAGUCAAGUCGCUUUCCCCAGAGCCCAGCGAGCAGCCCAUGCUGGCACACAGUGGGCAGUGAUGUUCAGCUGCUUGAGGACACAAUGGGCACGCUUCCCCGCAGCACUCUCCAGCCAGCUGGAACUCACAGCAAUGCGGGCGGGCUGUCUUCAGAAAGCUAUGCAGUCAUACUGACCACAAACGGGAAACAGCAGUGCCAAGCCACACCUGCAAGUAGAUGGAGGUACAGAUAUGGUCAUAAGACAUUUACGUAUACAAAUAUAUAAAAAUCCCUAUGUGAAUAUGAAACAUUGCUCUCCCAAGAAGCUAUCAAAUUUACAAGCUCAUAUUGGCAGUUUGCUUCUCAGCGAAGGCUUGUUGUAGCUAUAUACUAGAAAGCAAAAUAGCAGCGGUUAUUACUGGGAUAAAUUAAAUCCCCACCAAGACCACAAGGAAAAUAGACGGGCCCAAUACUCACAGCAUCAAAGCUAUCAAGAACAGUUCUGGUGAAACAAGAAAAAACAAUUUAAGAAGCAAGUAUGACAAUAGAAGGAGCGAAACGUGAAGCCAGCAGAUGUGGAUUCUCAAGUAACAAAACCUGAAGAGAGCCAGUAGCCUGACAGGAGAAAUCCAUGGUUAAAAUAAGGGAGAAUAAACAGCUGUGCAAAAAGCAAUGACCUCUUAAUGUAUGCCAUCAACUAAAAUCAUUCUAGUGCUAAGAUAAGGACAGUAAAGUCGCUGAAAUGAGGCAAACAAAUAUUGCCUAUCUGUAUUUGAUUACGCAGGUAACUUCCUGCUAUGCAGGGAUGAGGAGAUGCUUCCAGUAUUCCAAGCAAGUAAUACUGAGAUAAUGCUCAGAAUUUUGUAAGGAAAAGCAUAACCAUGAGAACCAGACAAACACUGGAGAGAAUAUAGGAUAGCAGUGGGGCCCUGAUGGUGAUUCCUGGUGACUUUUGGGGUAACCAGGUAAUUGCUCAUGAGUAGAUGUCCUAAGAUAAAAGAAAACAAUAACUAAUAAUUGCAGGAGAGCUAGAUGGGUUUAAUGUAGUACUAAUUCACUUCAUGAUAAGGAUCUUUAUUAGAAGUAAAGCAGUGUCAUUAGUAGCAGCGAGCAGUGUUUUACAAAAGAGCUGUCCUGUUCAAAUUCCAUUCUGUGCUGUGUGACCACAUCAGGACACGCUGCCGAGGCUCCCUGAGGUGCUCCACCUAACAAACAGCAUUCUAAG